AACGAACGCUGGCGGCAGGCUUAACACAUGCAAGUCGAACGCCCCGCAAGGGGAGUGGCAGACGGGUGAGUAACGCGUGGGAACGUACCUUUCAGUUCGGAAUAACUCAGGGAAACUUGUGCUAAUACCGGAUACGCCCGCAAGGGGAAAGAUUUAUCGCUGAAAGAUCGGCCCGCGUUGGAUUAGCUAGUUGGUGGGGUAAAGGCCUACCAAGGCGACGAUCCAUAGCUGGUCUGAGAGGAUGAUCAGCCACACUGGGACUGAGACACGGCCCAGACUCCUACGGGAGGCAGCAGUAAGGAAUAUUGGUCAAUGCCCGGAAGGGUGAACCAGCCAUCCCGCGUGAAGGAUGAAGGGGCUCUGCCUUGUAAACUUCUUUUGUAUGGGGACGAAAAAAGGGGAUUUAUCCUCGACUGACGGUACCAUAAGAAUAAGCACCGGCUAACUCCGUG
rnacentral:rRNA from 1 species